UCCAGAACUGAUCUGAAGGCUGACAGCAGAAACUCGGCAUCUGAGGCACCCUGGGAUAAUGGCUUCAUGCCCUCACAGAGUCCCAGAAUGUGGACUUUUUGACCAGCUGAGAUCCAGAUGGAAUUUCACAAAGAAGAGACA
rnacentral:lncRNA from 1 species